rnacentral:rRNA from 1 species
AGAAUCAACGCUGGCGGCGUGCCUAACACAUGCAAGUCGACCGGAGAAAGUGGAGCAAUCCAUGAGUAAAGUGGCGCACGGGUGAGUAACACGUGACUAACCUACCUUUUAGUGGGGGAUAACCUAGGGAAACCUGGGCUAAUACCGCAUAACACUUACGAGUCAAAGCAGCAAUGCGCUGAAAGAGGGGGUCGCGGCCGAUUAGCUAGUUGGCGGGGUAAUGGCCCACCAAGGCGAUGAUCGGUAUCCGGCCUGAGAGGGCGCUACGGGACACGACUGGGAACUGAACAC